rnacentral:rRNA from 1 species
CCUACGGGUGGCAGCAGUAGGGAAUAUUGCUCAAUGGGGGAAACCCUGACGCAGCAACGCCGCGUGAAGGAUGAAGUUUUUCGGUUUGUAAACUCCUUUUGUUGGAGAAGAUAAUGACGGUAUCUAACGAAUAAGCACCGGCUAACUCCGUGCCAGCAGCCGCGGUAAUACGGAGGGUGCAAGCGUUACUCGGAAUCACUGGGCGUAAAGGGCGCGUAGGCGGGAUAGCAAGUCAGAUGUGAAAUCCUAUGGCUUAACCAUAGAACUGCAUUGGAAACUGUGAUUCUAGAGUAUGGGAGAGGUAGGGGGAAUUCUUGGUGUAGGGGUAAAAUGCGUAGAGAUCAAGAGGAAUA